CUAGUCUUAAAGCAAAACUAGACUAGUCCUAAAGCUGUUCUAAAACACUUAAACAAUUGAAAUCAUUUUGCCUCUUCUCCAAAAGCAAGAAACCCUAUAGUUCCAUUCUAAAACGCCCAAUUAGCUCAAACCAUAUCAACUCUCUUUUGCUCUCAUUGGAAUAUAAGUUUGAAGACAUGUUAGAGGAAGUCCAGAAAAUUGAGCAAGUUGAAGAAGGCGUGAAGAGAUAAUAUAUUCUUGGUUCUUGGUCCCCUUGGAGGAUGUAAGAUUAGUAAUAGCAUUGUGCAAUGUGGACCGUCGAGUUUCAAUCAGUAUAUUCGGUGCUAUUUUGCUUUCUGCGCGGAGUCCGCUUUCUUUGGUUCUCCUGCAUUCAGCUGAGGAGAAUUUCUAUUUUUAUGCAUUAAAAAUGCUACUUAAAACUUGUAUAUAUUGCAAUACAACGUCGGGCCCGUGCUUAGAGAACUCCUUCUCUAUCAUCAAAGGUUUUAUAUCAGAUAUCAGUAAUGAUACAACCUUGUGGUAGAACAAGAGGCAAGCUGAAAAAAUGUUGUAAAUGAGGCUCUGGAUUGAUUGCUGGAAAGGCACCACUUUUGUGUAUUAUUUUUAUACAUACUGUAGAGAAAAAGUCGUAUGAUACAACACCACAUUUUGCA